UCCUACGGGAGGCAGCAGUGGGGAAUCUUCCGCAAUGGACGAAAGUCUGACGGAGCAACGCCGCGUGUACGAUGAAGGUCUUCGGAUUGUAAAGUACUGUCUUCAGGGACGAACGGUAGGUAUGAAAAUAUUGUAUCUACAUGACGGUACCGAGGAGGAAGCCCCGGCUAACUACGUGCCAGCAGCCGCAGUAA
rnacentral:rRNA from 1 species